rnacentral:rRNA from 1 species
ACUCCUACGGGAGGCAGCAGUGGGGAAUAUUGGACAAUGGGCGAAAGCCUGAUCCAGCAAUGCCGCGUGAGUGAUGAAGGCCUUAGGGUUGUAAAGCUCUUUUACCCGGGAUGAUAAUGACAGUACCGGGAGAAUAAGCUCCGGCUAACUCCGUGCCAGCAGCCGCGGUAAUACGGAGGGAGCUAGCGUUAUUCGGAAUUACUGGGCGUAAAGCGCACGUAGGCGGCUUUGUAAGUAAGAGGUGAAAGCCCAGAGCUCAACUCUGGAAUUGCCUUCUAGACUGCAUCGCUUGAAUCAUGGAGAGGUCAGUGGAAUUCCGAGUGUAGAGGUGAAAUUCGUAGAUAUUCGGAAGAACACCAGUGGCGAAGGCGGCUGACUGGACAUGUAUUGACGCUGAGGUGCGAAAGCGUGGGGAGCAGACAGGGUUAGAUACCCUGGUAGUCCACGCCGUAAACGAUGAUAACUAGCUGUCCGGGGACUUGGUCUUUGGGUGGCGCAGCUAACGCAUUAAGUUAUCCGCCUGGGGAGUACGGCCGCAAGGUUAAAACUCAAAUGAAUUGACGG